CAUUUCGUUUAUUGUUUACAUUCUGUUUGUUUACUUUGUUAGUCUUGUCAAGUAUCAGCUGUCAAAUUCGACACACAGGAUAGAUUUUCAGUUGUUGUCUGUGGUCCUUUGAGAAAACUCGUGCUAGAUCGUCAUCGGACAGUGGUCAGUGGCGACAUGACGCUCAGAACAAUGAUCGUGCUGACUAGCCACAGAGUAGUUUUGUGACGAUGAGCUGACAUCCCCGGUGACGGCUUUUUUCGGAACUGGCAAGGAGGCAAACCAUUCUCUGUCAGAACGUCUGGAGUAAAUGUGUGGUUAGAUUUUUCUUCCCGCCCGCGUGGCGCAGGCCGUAUUGGUACCAAGUUCCUUGCUUCAUAUUUCCUGUUACCAGAUACGUACCACAGACACCCACGCAGCAUCACACCAUGUGUACCUAACCUGAAUUGCCGAGUGAGUAAACUAGCAUUUCGUUGUUAUUCGAUUUCCGAUGACUUUGGAUUUCGAAAGCCAUCUGCCUUGUCUUUAUUUCUACACGUAGCAACGUCUAACCCCGCGUAUUUCUUUUACAGCAAUUUCAAUCCUGCCCGGUGAAGCGUGCGAUUGCCCGACGCGUGUCACCUGACCCAACCCCAAGAAGGUGUCGUUGGUGACCAGAGCCGUCAGCGAGCCACGAGCCGUCCGGAGCUCCUGUCCUGGCCCCGUCCGACAGUCCAGGUUGGCCGUUGUAUGUUCGUUGAGCGGAUACUGAGGAAUUUCCUUAGGAUUUCUAUUAAUCUUCAGCGGCAUCAGCCUUCUAACGCCGCUGCUGAAUGUAGGAUUGCAAAGGCAGAACCCGGGUGGACUCUAGCGGGUUAAAACCUUUAUUUUAUUUUAUUUUUUACUUCGUAGGGAGCCCCGUUAGACGGGCAGUAGUAUCUAAAUUGCACUUUGAACCUUUUGUAGGCGCUAGGCUAUCAACGUCCUUCGGUUACGGGGCCUUAACGUUAAACUGCUAUCCCAUUGAAGUAAUAUAGAAGUUUCUCUGGGGUUAAUACCAUCUUUCUAUCCCUGUGGCGUGAAACACAGGGGUAGAACCUUUGGUUUCCCCACUUUAAUGUAAUUUCCUUGCAAUACCUUGUAUACUUCAACCAGACAAUUAUAAGGACUUAAUCCCUGGUCUCAUUUUGGACCUAUUUGAGUUAUAAAAUAUUGUGUGAGGCAGGGUUUUGAUAAAUAAAUAUUAAUAACUGUAC